CGUUUUUCGUCAAAUAGCAAAGAGAAAAACUCUCUCUCUUUCUUUUCCUCCCGACCCCUUCUCUCUCCUCACUCAGUUCCAAUCUCAGAUCUCUCCAUCUCUAUUGCACCACGAUCUCUAGCAGCUCAGAUCUCUCCAUCUCUAUUGCACCACGAUCUCUAGCAGCUCUCUCACCUUGGUAUCUCAGUUAGCCAUAGCUCGCUCUCUCUCUCUCUCUCUCUCAAAAACCUAGACCCAAAGCACACCGAUCGAACACUCAAAUCGGAAAUCCUCAUCUAUAGCAGAUCUCUCCUUACUACUCCUUUUGUCUCACAGCUUCAAUUACCCGCUCCAACUUUUCUUCAACAUAUGCCUAGAAACCCUAAUCCCAAAACUCGCCCUAUUCGCUGUAGCAAAUUGAGAAUUCGUUUCAAAGCCGAAGGAUAUAAAUGGGUAAGUUUCUGUCCAAAAAUAGACAGGCAGUAGAUUGGGAAGUGAAAAUUCAAUUCAUAAAGAAUGAAAGUAAGAACAUAGGGAAGCAUUUUUACGGUAUCGGCCUAUUUCGGCCACUUUCAUUCACUUCCACCUGUGGUCUCCAUGGAACUGCUUGAUGACAUAAAGAAAAUGCAGUAGUAUGCGGUCCUUUCUUAGUCAAAUUGAGAGGUGCUUAUUCACAUCAAUUUUAGCUUCAUGAGUAUUAGAAAGACAUGAUAUGUUUAUGAGUAUUAGAUUGUAGUCAACACCUUCAAUCUGGCUAUAGCUACUAUAGAAUCAAGCUGGUUCUUAUUCGAUUAUGCUUAUAUAUCUCUACUCUAAAGAAAUAAUCAACAGAAGUAGUACAUGGUGGAGAGAUGGGUUCAGCCUUGGCAACAGAGGGAUCAAAUGAAUAUAAUUCAAGGUUCUAAACAUUUUUUCUGCUUAUAGGAAGAAAGACAAGCUUGGUGAACCAAUACAAGCUUGGUGAACCAAUAGCAGCUCCAUGACGCUUGUUUCUUCUUUGUGGAAAGGGAAGAGAAGCAAGACAACCAAAAAACUAAGUCGGAGCAUGUCCGGCAUCAUACAAGAGAAUGUGAGAGAAGGAGGAAGGUGGAAACUGAACCCAUUCAGCUGGACACUGCCUCCUGCGAACUAACCAAGCAAUGUGGUCUGCUGCCUGAUUAGCCAUUUUGCUGGUCCAAACCCAGCUGUGAGAAACAAGAUCAACUGUCAAAUCUCUAAUAUGAUCCACAAGAGGCAACACAGCCCAAUCUGUAGAUGUAGUGGAAUGGGAAAGGAGAUUGACAAGUUGGAGAGAAUCAACUUCAAACAGAAAAUGAGAAGCUCGCAAUGAAAGGGCCAAGAGUACACCCAAUCGCAUUGCCAAAGCCUCUGCAACUAGUGGUGAAGCAGCAAAAGUGAACAUAGCCAGCCCAGAAACAAGACAACCAAAGGAAUUUCUAGCCACAACAGCUAAACCAGAACCCUCCUUUGUCCAAGAAGCGUCAAUAUUUAUCUUAAUCUGAGUAGGAAGGGGAGGAAACCAUAUCGGUUUAGGGGGAGGACGCACAGGUCGAUGCAAAUUGGCAUUUGGAAUGGAACUAGCAGAAACAAGACCCAAGAACUCAGAAGAUGCAGCAAAAGAUAGAGAGGCUACCAAUGCAGAGUUAGGUUGGGCGUCAUUAAACACACAAUGGCAUCUAUGUUUCCAAAUAUUCCAAAGCAAGAAACUGAUAUGUGUAAAAGUACUACACCUGGUUGUAAGUGAAAUAGAAGAAGGGAAAGAUAAGUGGAGAAACCAUUUAGCUAAAGUAGUGAGCUGAUGAAGGGGAGGGCGAUAACCUAGAGGAUGAAGGAACCAUGUUUUAAGAGUCCAAGGGCAAGAUAAAAGGAGAUGCUCAAUUGUUUCGGGAAAGAGAUGACAGAGAGGACACAGAGGAUCUUUUGAUAAUUUCCUACGAAACAGAUUGGCCUUAGUGGCUACAAAGUUAGAAACCGCUCUCCAAAUGAAAUGCUUAAUUUUUGGCAGAGAUUUAAGGGACCAAACGAGCUUCCAAAGAAGGGGGUUGAUAGUAGAAGAUGAAGAAGGAUGAGAAGUAGCGAGGACUAGAUGUGUUGAGUGAGCUAAAUGAUAACCCGAGCGGACCGUAUAAAUCCCUGUCUUUUCCAUAGGCCAGAUCAAUCUAUUUUGACUAUUUGGAGAUGUUAAAGGAAUGGACAGAAUUGCUUUCCUUUGAGUGAAUGUAGUAGCCCCCACAAUAGCUGAGAGAUUCCAAGAGUGUGAUGUCCAGUUAAUCAAAGAUGAUACUUGCAACAUGUGAUCAAAGGGAGAUGAUGUUGUAAGAUGCAUACCAGGAAGCUGAGGAAUCCAGUUCGAGUCUCAAACUGGAAUAUUAAUGCCAUUUCCUAUCUGCCACACCACAUUAGGCUUAAGAAGAUCUCUUCCAUGAAGCAUACUGGACCAAAGCCAAGAAGGAGAGGAUCCUUUUCUAGCAGUGAAGAAAGUAUCCAUAGGAAAAUACCGUGCCUUAAGAACACGAACCCAUAGAGCUGUAGGAUUAGUAAGAAUACGCCAUCCUUGCUUGGCUAGGAGAGCUUGAUUAAAGUCUUGAAGAUCACGAAAUCCCAUGCCUCCUUUAGAUUUAGGAAGGCCUAGCCUAGACCAAUUCAGCCAAUGAAUACCAGAGUCGCCUCUGUUGCCCCACCAGAAUCGAGCAACCAUAGAAUUAAUCUGAUGACACAGAGUUUUGGGAAAUUGAAAGCACAUCAUAGGGUAAGCUGGAACUGCCAUAGUUAUGGAUUUGAUUAAAAUCUCCUUGCUAGCUUGAGUUAAGCAUCCACACUUCCAGUUCUGAAGUUUACGAUUAAUGGCAUCUCUGACAUAGGCCAAAGCAGAGACUUUCGAUCUCCCCCAAAUAGUUGGGAGACCAAGGUACUGCCCAGGGUUUGUAACAGAAGUAACUCCCAAAGCAGCCGAAAUAGUAUUGAUCAGAGAAGCAUCUGUGUUUGGACUAAAAAACAAAGAAGACUUCGAGUAGUUAAUUUGCUGUCCUGAUGCAUUGCCAUAAGUUUGUAGGAGAAACAGAAGAUGAGAGGCAGUAGCAGAAGUUGCUUCAAAAAAGAACAAAGAAUCAUCUGCAAAUAACAGGUGACUGAUCUUCGGUGCAGAGGGUGAGAUUUGCAAAGGGAUAAGCCAUUGAAUAUCACAAGCUUUUUGAACCAAAGUAGAUAACACAUCACUGACAAACAGGAAUAGAUACGGGGAUAAGGGAUCCCCCUGUCGUAACCCACGAGAAGGAGUGAAGAAAGCAGACGGUUUUCCAUUGACCAAAACAGAGAACGUAACUGAACGAACACAGUUCAUAAUAAGCAUAACCCAAUGAACAUGGAAACCCAACUUGAGAAGCACAGCACGAAGAAAAUCCCAUUCCACAGAGUCAUAAGCCUUUGUAAUGUCCAAUUUCAAUCUAAGAGCUCCCAAUCCAGAAUUUCGAAGAAGCUUCAGAUGAUGAAACAUUUCAUGUGCAAUGACCACAUUAUCUUGAAUCUGUCGACCGGAGACAAAGGCAGCUUGGUUUUCCAAAACUAAAUCCUGCAUAAAGGGCUUCAAGCGAUUGGCCAUUACCUUAGACAAAAUUUUGUAGGAGUAGUUGCACAACCCAAUUGGUCUAAACUGAAAAGCAUGCUCUGGAUGAGGAACCUUCGGAAUCAGCACCAGAUAAGUCUUGUUUAACUCUGAUAAAAGAUUCCCUGUUUGAAAGAAAGAAGUGGUAGCUUGAUGAAUCACCGAGUUCACAAUACUCCAAUAAGUUUGGUAGAAGAUGCCAGGAAAGCCAUCUGGUCCAGGAGCCUUAAGAGCCCCCAAUCCAAAAAUGGCUUGUUUGACUUCGUCCAAUGUUACAGGAGCCAACAGAUUAUCAUUCAUUGCAGGGGUAACAACCGGGUCAACAAGCAAAAGAAUGUCAGUCAAAUUUCUUGGUCCUGAGGUAGAGAACAGUUGCUUGUAGUAUUGAAGAAAAGUAUCAGCUAUAGACAUGUCAAAGUCUAGCCACAAACCAUUGGCAUUACGAAGACGAAGAAUCCGGUUACGCUGUCUCCGUUGAGUAGCAGAUUGAUGAAAAAACUUGGUAUUGUUAUCACCAAGUUUUAACCAAGAAAUUCUUGAACGUUGAUGCCAAAAUUUUUCUUCCAGCACCCAUAAAUCUUGAAUAUGUUGUGUAACAUCCCGAAUUUGAGAGCCUGCAUCAGGGACUGAGCUAUUAUGUAAAUGAUUGAGUUGGAUGAACAGAGUAUCGACCUGUUUGUGAGAGUUGGGGAAAGUCUUCAAGCACCAACUGGAUAAGGAUUUCUGACAAGCCUUAAGAUUGGCGACCCAGAUAGACAUUGCAAGGUUAGUUGGAGAAGAUACCCAGGCAGCAGCAAUGAUCUGUUCACAAGAGACUGCUGAGGUCCAAAUAUGUUCAAAACGAAAAAGUUUAGGGGUGUGAGUUUCCUUGGGAUGAGAAUCAAACAAUAGCGGGCGGUGAUCAGAGCUGAAAAUCGGUAAAUGGAAAACCUGAGACUGAGGCAAAGCAGCGCACCACUCAGCAUUACCUAAACAUCGAUCCAAUCUUUCCUUCAGAACCAGUUGGUUAUGCUGAAAACGAAACCAUGUAUAACAAGGGCCCUAAAAGUGUAAAUCACGGAGACCAGUGUGAUUUAGGAAAGUACGAAAAAGAGCCAUUCUCCAUUGUUGAGGGGGACAACCUCCCCAUUUUUCAUCAGACCAAAGAAUAUCAUUAAAAUCCCCCAAACAAAGCCAAGGUAGAGAUCGAGCUGAAAAGUAUCUACACAUGUAAGACCAAAACAACUUCUUUUUAUUUUCAUUAGGGUUGCCAUACACCCAAGAUAUGUUACAACGGAAAUCCUCAUUAACAAAGUACACCAUAGUGUCAAUGACAUUAGGGGUAUUAUGCAAAAUAGACACUUGAACAGAGGAAUUCCACAAAAUGGCUAAGCCCCCAGAGCUAGUAUUUACAGGGUCAACUACAACGUAGUUGUCAAACUGAAGCUGAGUUUUCCAAGAAGAGACUAUCUGCUCCUUCUGGUGAGUUUCCAUAAGGAAGAUAAUCUCAGGGUCAUACUUACGCCAUAACCGUCGAAGUGCCUUUGCUGUCAAAGAUGACCCGAGUCCUUGACAGUUCCAAGAGAUGAGCCUCAUUCCGCACCCGUAGCUGCACCAGGCCAGCUACCUAUGCCUUUAUCAGCAGUGGAUGAAACAAGAGAAACUGAAAUGCUUAUCAGCUGUUGCUUCCAAUGAUGAAGUGAAAUCAUAGGAAAGAUUGCUUCUGGGAUCAGCAUCUUGAACAAGGAAUGGAAGAUCCAUAGCUUGAUAGAAAUCUAAAGACACAAAAAGAAGAAGAGUUCAAGAAAAACUCAUGGAUGCUCGUGAUGAAUGUGAUGUGGAUUGAACUUGAAAAGUUGUAGUUAGAUUAGAUGGUAAAUUAUAGUUUAGUGAACUUGAGAAAAUAAAUGUGCUCAUUGAUAUUGUAUUUUGAAUGUUAACAUAUAAUUUUGGUUGGUAAUUGUGUGUAAAUUUACAUAUUUUAAUUUUUUUUUGUUUCAUGGAAAAGAUAUAAGGACGUUUUUUUAGUGUCAUUAUAGAUA